rnacentral:rRNA from 1 species
UACGGGGGGGGCAAGCGUUGUUCGGAAUCACUGGGCGUAAAGGGAGCGUAGGCGGGUUUCUAAGUCAGGUGUUUAAUCCCGGGGCCCAACCCCGGACAGGCACUUGAAACUGGGAAUCUUGAAUAGGGGAGAGGUCAGUGGAAUUGGAGGUGUAGCGGUGGAAUGCGUAGAGAUCUCCAAGAACACCAGUUGCGAAGGCGGCUGACUGGACCCAUAUUGACGCUGAGGCUCGAAAGCAUGGGGAGCAAACAGG